GACGAGUCUCACGACCGUUAUUCGGAAUUACUGGGCUUAAAGGGUGCGUAGGCGGUGGAGUAAGUCGGAUGUGAAAUACCUUAGCUUAACUAGGGAACUGCACUCGAUACUACUUUGCUAGAGUAAGACAGAGGUGAGUGGAACUGAGGGUGGAGCGGUGAAAUGCGUUGAUAUCCUCAGGAACACCGGUGGCGAAGGCGACUCACUGGGUCUUUACUGACGCUGAUGCACGAAAGCUAGGGUAGCAAACGGG
rnacentral:rRNA from 1 species